rnacentral:rRNA from 1 species
UACGAAGGUGGCAAGCGUUACUCGGAAUUACUAGGCGUAAAGCGCAGGUAGGUGGUUGGGUAAGUCCGCUGUGAAAUCUCCCGGCUUAACUGGGCGGGGUCAGCGGAUACUGCCUAGCUAGAGUGUGGGAGAGGAUACUGGAAUUCCCGGUGUAGCGGUGAAAUGCGCAGAGAUCGGGAGGAACACCAAAGGCGAAAGCAGGUAUCUGGACCAUUACUGACACUGAGCUGCGAAAGCUAGGGGAG